rnacentral:rRNA from 1 species
GACGUAGGGGGCGAGCGUUGUCCGGAUUUACUGGGCGUAAAGAGCGCGCAGGCGGUCGUUCAAGUCGAGUGUGAAAGCCCCCGGCUCAACUGGGGAGGGUCACGCGAUACUGAUCGACUCGAAGGCAGGAGAGGGUAGUGGAAUUCCCGGUGUAGUGGUGAAAUGCGUAGAUAUCGGGAGGAACACCAGUGGCGAAGGCGACUACCUGGCCUGUUCUUGACGCUGAGGCGCGAAAGCUAGGGGAGCAAACGGG